rnacentral:rRNA from 1 species
UAGGGAAUCUUCGGCAAUGGGGGCAACCCUGACCGAGCAACGCCGCGUGAGUGAAGAAGGUUUUCGGAUCGUAAAGCUCUGUUGUAAGAGAAGAACGUGUGUGAGAGUGGAAAGUUCACACAGUGACGGUAACUUACCAGAAAGGGACGGCUAACUACGUGCCAGCAGCCGCGGUAAUACGUAGGUCCCGAGUGUUGUCCGGAUUUAUUGGGCGUAAAGCGAGCGCAGGCGGUUUAAUAAGUCUGAAGUUAAAGGCAGUGGCUUAACCAUUGUUCGCUUUGGAAACUGUUAAACUUGAGUGCAGAAGGGGAGAGUGGAAUUCCAUGUGUAGCGGUGAAAUGCGUAGAUAUAUGGAGGAACACCGGUGGCGAAAGCGGCUCUCUGGUCUGUAACUGACGCUGAGGCUCGAAAGCGUGGGGAGCAAACAGG